GAGACAAUAGCUUAGUGAUUCUAAAGCAAUUGGCUUUCAACCAAUUAGAUGACGAGUUCGAACCCGGCUUCA
rnacentral:tRNA from 1 species